rnacentral:ncRNA from 1 species
GUGUCAUUCGAAAGAUGAGCUGGUUAGCACUCCCCUUGACAAGGCCCAUGAGGAUUUAAUAUUUAGUUUUUGCUACAGUGAAACUGUGUGAUAUGUAAACGCAAAUUACUGGUUUUGUAUUGUUUUGCUUCAUAGCACGUAUCAAAGGUUUUGU